ensembl:lncRNA
AUUCAAUUGAAACACAUAAGGAUUAAAAUAAAGAAUUUGCAGGCAACUGUUAGAAAUUCGUAUAUUUCGUAUAUUUUCGUAUAUGAAUAUAAUGUUCAGGCAAGCACAUCUCUGUAACUUGGCAAUAUUUAAAUGGUAUUUCUCAUACAAAGUUUCACCUAAACAAUAUUUGUCUCCCACAAUGCGAAAAUUAUAUUAAAGUAUAUUUUAAUUUGAGUUACAUAUCAAUUAAUUGUUCAGCCAUGAUUUAUAGAAAUUACAAACUUAGCUAAUACAAUACUUUAAAAUGUUCCUAUUACAAUAGGAGAGGAGACGGAGGGAAAUGAUAACUCAAGAGCAGCGUCGGAGAAAGGUACGUACUGUAUAUUGUAAGAUACAAACAUGUGGUGUUUAAAGUCAUUCAUUACACUGUGUUCAAUUUUAAUGUUAAGGCCAUAGAAGAUAAAGUGGACCUUAUCAACAGUGUCGAGGAACCAGUAGAUGGUGUCGAACUCCACUGCAAAUUUCCAGAUGGAAGAAUUUCCAAUAGGAGAUUUUAUUUAUCCCAGCCAUUCCAGGUAAUUUAAAAAUUGGUUGGGAGGGUGUUAAAAUGCAAAUUCAAAAUAAACCCUGAGAUUUCUUAGUUGCUAUUCAGGCCUGCAACACAUUCAAAACAAGUGUGGGACAGUUAAGUAUUUACAACUUUGUAAUGUGUACCUAGUCUUAUUUAGAGGAAGGAAAAAUAAUCAGCUAUUUUCCUGCAGCAUCUUGUUGCUUUUGUUGGGACUGACGAGAUGGCAUCUGAGGUCUUCACUCUGCAGCGCGCAAUGUCCCCUACUGCCAUCUACAGCAACUGUGCAGGAGCCAUCGUCGAUCAGGGUAUCGAUGGGCCCUGCACAUUGUAUGUGCUUUGGCUGUCAAGCAGCCAAGUCAGGGAAUUGCUGGCUCCUCCUUCCAGUCUCUCUCCCCCAAGUUUUUCACCUCCUCAUCACCCAUCACCUCCUCCCAGUCCUUCACCUCCUCCCAGUCCUUCACCUCCUCCACGUCCUUCACCUCCUCCCAGUCCUUCACCUCCUCCCAGUCCUUCACCUCCUCCCAGUCCAUCACCUCCUCUCAGUCCAUCACCUGCUUGUAGUCUGUGAGUAAUAAAUACUCACUGUAUAAAUACAGUGUAAUGUAAAAAAUGUGGAGAAGAAAGACAUAGGAGGGACGUUAUGGCUAUUAUGAGUAAUAUAGAUAAUAGAUUGGCUUAUCUUCAAUAUCAACUAUUAGUACAACAAUGUGAUACCAGAUAUUGCUUAUAACUCCCUUUAAGAUGUGCCUAACAAGAUUGUCUCUGUUCUUAAUUUAAUUUUCAGGGAUGUUGUCACCAUUCUCCGAGGUCUUAGGGAGACACUCAAACUCCUCCCCAACAGAGCUAAUCAAAUUAAUGCUCUGCGUGGGGAGGAGUUUGAUUGCGCAGCCCGAGCCUUCAGCAGAUCUAAUUUUGACCCAGAGUCAAAAUUAGAUGUCGUGUUUGUAGACGAUGAUGGUAUUGGAGAGGGGGCUGUGGAUGAAGGUGGUCCAACAAGGGAGUUCUGCCGCCUUCUCACCAGGCAGCUCCAAACACAUAGCAUUUUUGAAGGACCCCUGGAAAAAUGCACCUUGGCCCUAGAUAGUGUUGGUAAGUGUUAUGCAAUGCAUAGAAAUGUUUUUUCCAUAUUGUUGGCAUAUGUACAAAACACCUGUAUUAUAUGCUAAAAUAUAACAUAUUUUUGGAAAAUCUUGAACCAUAAUGUUAGUUAAUGCAAUAUUGAAUUGGUAUUUAAAAAGUUUAUUCUUGUUGACAUUGAUCUUUACAUAGUAUUAAUGAAAUUAUAAAGAUUGAUUUAAUAAAAUGUAAUUACCUUGUGGUCAGUAAUUGUAGGACUUAAAGAUGUGUUUACUGUAUUAACUUAAUGCAAAUGCACAUGUAUGAUUCUAAAGGGCUUAACACUUCUGUAUAUUCUGUACUACUCUCAUUUAUCUGUAAUGCAUCUGGAAUAUUCUACUCCAACGUUUUAAUAAUGUUGUAUUUAAAUGGGUCAUUCAUAGGGUAUCAUUGCAGUAGACUAACACAAAAGUAGAACAUUUAAGGGAAUAUAUAGUAUUCAGUGUAAUGUUUUUUGUGUUUGUGUUUUGCUAUUUAAAUAUUUGAAACUUUGAAUUAUGAUUUCUGUACAAUCUAAUCAAUUGUUUGUCCCCUUAUUUUAUGGCUUAGAUUGCCACAGCAACAACUCUUGAAGAGGCAAGAGAGGCAGUCAGUGACGCAUCAGAGGAACUGUCCCUGAUGGGUUCUCUGCGCUUCCUCAAAACUCUAGAGGAGAGGGAUGAACUGGUGACCGCUGUCCUGGGGUUCUACACUGAGGGUCGAGUCCAUGCUCCCCUUCAGCAGUAAGUGUACAUGGCAUAGGCCAAAUGGCUAGGUUGACUAUGGCCCCCUAAGGCAUAACAGCCUAGGAAUAUGCUGAAUGUACACAGAUAGUACACUUUUGUGCAAGUUUCAUCUGAAAAGAAAGAAAAAAUAUUUAAAUUAUAAAAACUGAAUAGUCCGCUUAAGAUUGUUCAUCCAUAAUAUAGUCCUCAUUAUUUAACCAUUGCACUGCCAGAGAAUAGAAUGAGGGCUAGGUGUUUACUACAUUGAGAUACUAGUUACCUAUGGGCUCAGUAAAACAGGACUUCUGCAUAAGUGAAACAGGGCAAAUGCACUGAAAACGGAUCAAAUACUAUUGUGGUUUGGGUGAUUUCAUAAUUAAUUAUUCUCUUGCAUGCUGAUUUCUAUCUUGUAUAUAUUGCUUGGUAACUUUAAUCAUUGAAUUACCAACAUUAGACUGAGAUAAUAAAAUUGGUGAAAUUACCCCUCAAAUUUUGAAAAAAUAGAUUAGCAGGUUGUUUCAAUGUUUAGUCCAAGGGGACAGAAACAUGUAGAUGUGUUGUUUAUUCUUACUGUUUACUUUUACAGGUUCAGAGAGGGCCUCAGCGUCUUCGGUGCUCUGGCUGCAAUGGAGGAGCACUGUGAUGUCCUGGCACCAGUCUUCCUGGCAGACCAGAAAGCGCUGUGUGCCUCAGAUCUGGUUACACUGUUUGUAACACGCAGCUUCUCACUGGCUGGAUCCAACAGGAAAAGAGCGGAGCUAAAAACCAUCGCCUAUUGGAGAGACUGGCUCCUGCAGGUGGAGGGUAAGAAAGUGCCUAAUGAAAAAUGAUUUAUACUUGUAUAGAGGUUAAGCUUUACUGUUUACUGAAAGAAAAGUGUAUUAGCUAACAUCAACAUCUUACAUUAACUUGUAACAUUCUCUUGUGUGACACACAACAUCAUGAGUGACGGGCAGAGGAAACAUCAAAGUUAAGAAAUGGUAUGGUCCACAUUAGGGAUUUAAUGAAGCCAUUUUACAAGAUUCUUCCAGGCUAUAUUUAAAUGUUUUGACACCCCUUGCCCUGUAUUUUUAACCUUUUUGGGGUGACAGCCUUAAUUGGGGGUCAGACAUUCCAAAUAGCAUACUGUUGAAGUAAAUAAUAAUUCAGCAUUUAUACAGUCACAAACAGUGGCACUGGGCACUGUUUAGAGGUAGCUCUCUAAUAUAUGUUGUAGUUGUUUCGACCAAUACCAUAACCAUAACAACAGUACUCUGAAAAAUUCCAACACCAGUUCUCAGCUAACGACUCUGGUUCUUUCUGGAAGGAGCUCAGACAGAUUACAAACUACAAACCUAAACCCUCCCACUCCGUCAAUGACCUGCGGCUUGCAAAUUAACUGAACGAGUUCUACUGUUGCUUUGAGAGACAAAGGGACAGCCCUGACACCAUCCCCCGCGACACCCUUUCCCAUCUCAACAACACCCCCAGCUCAGCAGGAAACGGGGCCUCUCCCCUUCACACCUCUGGGUCCCCCCUCCUCUACCACAGUGACGACUCUCUGCCUGCAGGAGAGGGACGUCCACAAGCUAUUCAAAAGACAGAACCCCGCAAAGCAGCUGGACCAGACUCUGUCUAUCCAUCCACCCUGAAGCAGUGCGCUGACCAGCUGUCUCCAGUGUUCACAGACAUCUUCAACACCUCACUGAAGAACGUCAUGUGCUUCAAAGUCUCCACCAUCAUCCCCGUCCCCAU